GGGUCUUUUAAGCGCUGGUCCCUGAAAGAAGGGGGCACGUGCGCGCCCCUGAUCCUUUUGUCCCACAAAUACACCUGUGCACCUAGCGAGCGCCUCCCAUAUAGGAGCCGUCCCGAUGUAGAACCCUUUCGGGGGGGAGUCGGGCCCGGGGCGUUUCCUCUUUCUUUUUUUACACCGUCGCCUGUUCAAACGCAUGUCUUUGAAGCCCUACGGGGCGAAAGCGGAAUACAACUUUCAACAACGGAUCUCUUGGCUUUCGCAUCGAUGAAGGACGCCGCGAACGUGCGAAACGUAAUGUGAAUUGCAGAAUUCAGUGAAUCAUCGAAUCUUUGAACGCAUCUUGCGCUCCUUGGUAUUCCGAGGAGCAUGCCUGUUUGAGUGUCGUGAAUUACCUUCGAACCCCUCCCUUACCUUGGGGGUGGGGGUUUGGAUUUGGACGCUUGCGGCAAAGGGGGGGGACUCUUCCCUGCCGCUCGUCUCUAAAUGCAUCAGCUGGUCCCUCGAGUCGGUCCGACGAAACGGUGUGAUAAUAAACGCUUUGUCGACUGUGGCGCCGUUUUUGGCCGACUCGUGUCGGGGGUUCGCUUACAGCCGUCUUCGGACACUUUUGUUGUCGUCUGACCUCAAAUCAGGUAGGACUACCCGCCNAACUUAAGCAUAUC
rnacentral:rRNA from 1 species